GAAAUGCAAAUAGAAGAACAUAAAAAUUGAUGAAUAUUAACGAACUCACACAUUAACUCCUACAAAUAACAUAUAUAUCCACACACACAUGGUAAUUUAGAAAUUCAGAUUGCACAAAUAGGACCAUUCUCAUAGCUAGAACUUGGUUAUAUACUUGGAGAUAACAUAAAUAAGACCAAGAAGGUCAAUAAAUUAGCUGAUUCUUCUAAAAUAAUGAGCAGUAACAGGCAGCCACACACGGCCAAAUCAGAAACCAGGAUCAGCUUUCAACCAACCAGAUUUAAGCUUCAUAACAAAGAUCCAAAACUAGAAGAAAAAUCAAUAUCUAGCUACAGAAAAACCCAAAGAACUUCCUUUUCAAGCCAUGUUUCUUCACUUGUGAAGAAAUAUUGGAUUUCUCAGAUUUUGAAAAGUUAUUUUUGAGGCUCAAAUUUCACAGAAGACCAAGAAACAUUUUUAGGGGAGAAUUUUUGACUGAUAUCUUAC
rnacentral:lncRNA from 1 species